rnacentral:rRNA from 1 species
CUACAGGGCUUGAGUACGGGAGGGGAGAGUGGAACUUCUGGUGGAGCGGUGAAAUGCGUAGAUAUCAGAAGGAACGCCGGCGGCGAAAGCGACUCUCUGGUCCGAAACUGACGCUGAGUGUGCGAAAGCUAGGGGAGCAAACGGGAUUAGAUACCCCGGUAGUCCUAGCCGUAAACGAUGGGCACUAAGUAGAGGGGUUUU